rnacentral:sRNA from 1 species
CACCUUAAACCCUGAAUCCUACUUUAACUUCCAGGUUCUUAUUGCGUUUCUAGUUUUUAUACUGAAUGAUAAACAAAACAUCAAGUCAAUUUGGACUACAAAAACACAAAC